AGAGUUUGAUCCUGGCUCAGGAUGAACGCUGGCGGCGUGCUUAACACAUGCAAGUCGAACGAACCUUCGGGUUAGUGGCGGACGGGUGAGUAACGCGUGAGAAUCUGCCCUCAGGAGGGGGAUAACGGUUGGAAACGACCGCUAAUACCCCAUAUGCCGCGAGGUGAAAUGAAUUUCGCCUGAGGAUGAGCUCGCGUCUGAUUAGCUAGUUGGUGGGGUAAGAGCCUACCAAGGCAUCGAUCAGUAGCUGGUCUGAGAGGAUGAUCAGCCACACUGGGACUGAGACACGGCCCAGACUCCUACGGGAGGCAGCAGUGGGGAAUUUUCCGCAAUGGGCGAAAGCCUGACGGAGCAACGCCGCGUGAGGGAUGAAGGCCUCUGGGCUGUAAACCUCUUUUAUCAAGGAAGAAGAUCUAACGGUACUUGAUGAAUAAGCCACGGCUAAUUUCGUGCCAGCAGCCGCGGUAAUACGGGAGUGGCAAGCGUUAUCCGGAAUUAUUGGGCGUAAAGCGUCCGCAGGCGGUCUUGUAAGUCUGUUGUUAAAGCGUGGAGCUUAACUCCAUUUCAGCAAUGGAAACUGUAAGACUAGAGUGUGGUAGGGGCAGAGGGAAUUCCCGGUGUAGCGGUGAAAUGCGUAGAUAUCGGGAAGAACACCAGUGGCGAAGGCGCUCUGCUGGGCCAUAACUGACGCUCAUGGACGAAAGCCAGGGGAGCGAAAGGGAUUAGAUACCCCUGUAGUCCUGGCCGUAAACGAUGAACACUAGGUGUCGGGGGAAUCGACCCCCUCGGUGUCGUAGCCAACGCGUUAAGUGUUCCGCCUGGGGAGUACGCACGCAAGUGUGAAACUCAAAGGAAUUGACGGGGGCCCGCACAAGCGGUGGAGUAUGUGGUUUAAUUCGAUGCAACGCGAAGAACCUUACCAGGGUUUGACAUCCUGCGAAUCUCUUGGAAACGAGAGAGUGCCUUCGGGAACGCAGUGACAGGUGGUGCAUGGCUGUCGUCAGCUCGUGUCGUGAGAUGUUGGGUUAAGUCCCGCAACGAGCGCAACCCACGUCGUUAGUUGCCAGCAUUUAGUUGGGCACUCUAGCGAGACCGCCGGUGAUAAACCGGAGGAAGGUGUGGAUGACGUCAAGUCAUCAUGCCCCUUACAUCCUGGGCUACACACGUACUACAAUGCUACGGACAAAGGGCAGCAAACUCGCGAGAGCUAGCAAAUCCCAUAAACCGUGGCUCAGUUCAGAUCGUAGGCUGCAACUCGCCUACGUGAAGGAGGAAUCGCUAGUAAUCGCAGGUCAGCAUACUGCGGUGAAUACGUUCCCGGGCCUUGUACACACCGCCCGUCACACCAUGGAAGUUGGCCACGCCCGAAGCCGUUACUCCAACCCUUGUGGAGGAGGAUGUCGAAGGUGGGGCUGAUGACUGGGGUGAAGUCGUAACAAGGUAACC
rnacentral:rRNA from 1 species